CCUACGGGCGGCAGCAGUGAGGAAUAUUGGUCAAUGGGCUUACGCCUGAACCAGCCAAGUCGCGUGAGGGAAGACUGCCCUAUGGGUUGUAAACCUCUUUUGUCAGGGACCAACGCCGGCUACGUGUAGCCGGACUGAGCGUACCUGAAGAAAACGCAUCCGAUAACUCCGUGACAGCAGCCGCGGUUAUACGGAGGAUGCGCGUGUUAUCCGGAUUUUUGGGGUUUAAAGGGCGCGUAGGCGGAAUGCCAAGUCAGCGGUAAAAUCGCGGGGCACAAGCUCGCUCCGCCGUUGAUACUGGCGUUCUUGAGUGGGCGAGAAGUAUGCGGAAUGCGUGGUGUAGCGGUGAAAUGCAUAGAUAUCACGCAGAACUCCGAUUGCGAAGGCAGCAUACCGGCGCCCAACUGACGCUGAAGCACGAAAGCGUGGGUAUCGAACAGGAUUAGAUACCCUAGUAGUC
rnacentral:rRNA from 1 species